ensembl:rRNA 5S_rRNA 5S ribosomal RNA
GUCUACGGCCAUAUCAUCUUGAACACGCCCAAUCUCGUCUGAAAUCGGAAGUUAAGCAGGGUCGGGUCUGGUAAGUACUUGGACGGGAAAAUCAUUCUUUACUCUGUUCAGCAAUGUGACCCCCAUAUACA